AGCACAGACCACAAAGGUCCCCCACCAGACUACCAGAAAUCCAGCUCACCCACCAGUGAACCACCAGAGAUAGGUACACUGAGAAACUGCACACUCAAACUACCCUACAUACACAGCACUUAGAUUCCUCCACACACAAAAUUCAGCCUCCACACACAAAGUUACACUCAGCUUCCCCACACACAAUGCUCCUUAGACUUCUCCUCCAUACAGCACUUAGACUCCUCACACAUAAUGCUCAGUCACUACACACACUCUCACACAAACAUACAGCAAUCAGCCACCACCCACUUACACAGCACUCAGCAAAACAGAGCUCUAGGGUAAGAACACAUUUAGGCAUCCUGCCUAUGGCUCUAGGCGACCUAAAACCUGCUCUGGAAAUAUUUCAAAUGUAG